CCCUUAGAUGUUCGGGGCCGCACGCGCGCUACACUGAAGGAAUCAGCACGUCUUUCUCCUUGUCCGAAAGGACUGGGUAACCCGCUGAACCUCCUUCGUGCUAGGGAUUGGGGCUUGUAAUUCUUCCCCAUGAACGAGGAAUUCCCAGUAAGCGCGAGUCAUAAGCUCGCGUUGAUUACGUCCCUGCCCUUUGUACGCACCGCCCGUCGCUACUACCGAUUGGAUGGUUUAGUGAGAUCCUCGGAUUGGUCCCGGCGCGGCCUCUGGUCGUGCCGGAGUGCCGAAAAGAAUGUCGAACUUGAUCAUCUAGAGGAAGUAAAAGUCGUAACA
rnacentral:rRNA from 1 species